rnacentral:rRNA from 1 species
GUGGGGAAUAUUGGACAAUGGGCGAAAGCCUGAUCCAGCCAUGCCGCGUGUGUGAAGAAGGUCUUCGGAUUGUAAAGCACUUUAAGUUGGGAGGAAGGGCAGUAAGUUAAUACCUUGCUGUUUUGACGUUACCGACAGAAUAAGCACCGGCUAACUUCGUGCCAGCAGCCGCGGUAAUACGAAGGGUGCAAGCGUUAAUCGGAAUUACUGGGCGUAAAGCGCGCGUAAGUGGUUUUGUAAGUUGGAGGUGAAAUCCCCGGGCUCAACCUGGGAACUGCCUCCAAAACUGCAUGACUAGAGUACGGUAGAGGGUAGUGGAAUUUCCUGUGUAGCGGUGAAAUGCGUAGAUAUAGGAAGGAACACCAGUGGCGAAGGCGACUACCUGGACUGAUACUGACACUGAGGUGCGAAAGCGUGGGGAGCAAACAGGAUUAGAAACCCGAGUAGUCC